UUUGCGGAAGACCCCUGUACUGCAUUAUCUUUACUACCUUGCUCAGGUUGGACUGGCAAUGUCUCCCCUGAGCAAUAAUUCACUUUUCCUUGACUAUAAUCGGAACCCAUUCCUUAUGUUCUUCCACCGUGGCAUGAACGUUUCACUCUCUACUGAUGAUCCCUUGCAAAUCCACUUGACAAAAGAGCCCCUUGUGGAAGAAUACAGUGUUGCAGCUAAGGUAUGGAAGCUGAGCUCUUGUGACCUUUGUGAGAUAGCUAGGAAUUCAGUCUAUCAGUCAGGAUUCAAUCAUGCAGACAAGAGACAUUGGCUUGGCAAUAAAUACUACAAGAGAGGCCCUCAAGGAAACGAUAUUCACAAAACAAAUGUACCCAAUACGAGGAUUUCCUUCAGACAUGAGACAUGGAAGGAAGUCUGAUCUGG
rnacentral:misc_RNA from 1 species